AGAGUUUGAUCCUGGCUCAGGACGAACGCUGGCGGCGUGCCUAAUACAUGCAAGUCGAACGGUCUUUUCUAUGGAAGCUUGCUUCCGCUGAGAAGAUAGUGGCGAACGGGUGAGUAACACGUGGGUAACCUGCCCAUAAGAGGGGGAUAACAUCCGGAAACGGGUGCUAAUACCGCAUAGUUUUCUUGAUCGCAUGAUCGAGAAAGGAAAGACGGCCUUUGUGCUGUCGCUUAUGGAUGGACCCGCGGCGUAUUAGUUAGUUGGUGAGGUAAUGGCUCACCAAGACGAUGAUACGUAGCCGACCUGAGAGGGUGAUCGGCCACAUUGGGACUGAGACACGGCCCAAACUCCUACGGGAGGCAGCAGUAGGGAAUCUUCCGCAAUGGACGAAAGUCUGACGGAGCAACGCCGCGUGAGUGAAGAAGGUUUUCGGAUCGUAAAACUCUGUUGUCAGAGAAGAACAAGUCGGAGAGUAACUGCUUCGGCCUUGACGGUAUCUGACCAGAAAGCCACGGCUAACUACGUGCCAGCAGCCGCGGUAAUACGUAGGUGGCAAGCGUUGUCCGGAUUUAUUGGGCGUAAAGCGAGCGCAGGCGGUUCCUUAAGUCUGAUGUGAAGCCACGGCUCAACCGUGCAGGUCAUUGGAAACUGGGAACUUGAGUGCAGA
rnacentral:rRNA from 1 species